rnacentral:tRNA from 1 species
UGGGAUAUAGCCAAGAGGUAAGGCAUCGGUCUCUGACUCCGAUAUGCGAAGGUUCGAAUCCUUCUAUCCCAG